UCUUCUUCUUCUUUCUUCCCUCUCACGUUUCUUCAUCCUCCAUGGGAGUUCUCUUCAAGCUUCCAUAACUCUCUCAAGUUAGUCUCAAAUUCAUCCUUUUGUGCACCUUUUCACAAGCCCUUUGUGCUCUUUUAUCCUUUCACCUUAAAAACCCUCUAAAGUCUUAAACUAAUACUUUCUCUCACUAUCUAGGUGUUUUAGAGAGAGAAAUAGGGAGCUUUUAUAAUAGCUUGGAAAAUUAUUGGAAAGAAUUUUAAAUUUUACAAGACUACCAAG
rnacentral:lncRNA from 1 species